rnacentral:rRNA from 1 species
CGAAGGGGCGUAGCGUUGUUCGGAAUCACUGGGCGUAAAGGGCGCGUAGGCGGCUUGAUAAGUCGGGGGUGGAAAGCCUGUGGCUCAACCACAGAAUUGCCUUCGAUACUGUCGAGCUUGAGACCGGAAGAGGUAAGUGGAACUGCGAGUGUAGAGGUGAAAUUCGUAGAUAUUCGCAAGAACACCAGUGGCGAAGGCGGCUUACUGGUCCGGUUCUGACGCUGAGGCGCGAAAGCGUGGGGAGGCAAACAGGAUU